rnacentral:rRNA from 1 species
AUUGAACGCUGGCGGCAUGCUUUACACAUGCAAGUCGAACGGUAACAGGCCUUCGGGUGCUGACGAGUGGCGAACGGGUGAGUAAUGCAUCGGAACGUACCCAGAGGUGGGGGAUAACGCAGCGAAAGCUGUGCUAAUACCGCAUGUGAUCUGAGGAUGAAAGCGGGGGACCGAGCAGCAAUGUUUGGCCUCGCGCCUUUGGAGCGGCCGAUGUCGGGUUGGCUAGUUGGUGGGGUAAAGGCCUACCAAGGCGACGAUCCGUAGCUGGUCUGAGAGGACGACCGGCGACAUGGGGACUGAGCCACGGCCCAGACUCCUAAGGGAGGCAGCAGUGGGGAAUUUUGGACAAUGGGCGCAAGCCUGAUCCAGCAAUGCCGCGUGCGGGAAGAAGGCCUUCGGGUUGGAAACCGCUUUUGGCAGGAACGAAACGGUGUCCGCUAAUACCGGGCGCUAAUGACGGUACCUGCAGAAUAAGCACCGGCUAACUACGUG